AAGAAAUUAGUUAAAAUAUAACAUUAAUAUGUCAAAUUAAAAUUAUUAUUUAAAUAAUAUUUCUUU
rnacentral:tRNA from 1 species